AUAGUUCCAGACUCCGUUUGGCAGUGAAAUAUAGGAUGAAGUAAGACAACCCGGCAUUCGGCUGUUCACGAUUGGCGAGGUGAAAUAGGAUUUUCUGGCUAUGGUGGAAGCUGUAUGGAAAAGGGUCUCAUUGUGUAGCUCUGGUUGCCCUGGAAUUCACCUCAAAGUGCCCCAAACCUGUGACUGUAUCACCUUCCACAAAAAAUGGUACUAUAUGAGGAUGAAUAAAUGAAGAAUUUUGAAAGGAAGAAAAGGUUCUUGACUGUCGAGCCAUACCUAACAAGUGAACACUCUGGGAGCUAUUGAAGAUCAAAUUUCUGGCCUGUGACCUUGGGAGCCUAAGAGCAGCAAGAGAAAAAGCAGCAGAUGCGGAGAGGAGAAAUGAGCAGGGGUCUGCCAGCAUCCAAGGGCAUGAGUCUAUUCCAUCCUCAGUUCCAGCUAGAGCUGUGCCUUUGGAUCCCAUAAGAUACCACGCGUUCUAUUAGAACAAAGACAGCUCUGAAGACAUCAGCCAAAGACGGCUCUGAAAACGACAUCAGCCAACACACAUACAAGGUGAUGUACCGGUCCCUUUGGACUCAAUGUAUGCAAACUUCUUGGAGCAAUGUAAUCAAUGAAAGAAAGAUGACCAAAGGAAUCAAAAUAACCAAAGACAUCAGCAGGCAAUUGCGAAAAUUCUAAGUUCUGGCACUUUAUUAAAAAGGCCCCGGCGAAGACAAAAACCACAGGAAAGCAAGAGAAUUUGCUGUGUCAUGCCUGCAAGAAGGCCAUAGUCUAUUUGAAUCAAAGUUUCCAUACAUCAAAAGGGGAAAGAAAACUUCAAAAACAAAGAAAUAUCUGUGUGUGCAUACAUAAAUAUAUAGGCGAGUAAUUAUAAUUAUAUAAUAUGUUCAUAGUGUUUAUUUGAUAUAUUCUACAUAGUGAUGGGUUUCAGAGGCAAUUUCAAGUAUAUCAUACAUUUUGUACAUAUUCACCUAUCACCCCUCCUCCUCCUCUCCCCUCACCGCCAUUCUUUCCCCAAUUUCCCUCCCAUUAUUAUGUUAUAUAUUAAAAUAGUCAUAUGCCUCUAUAUACAAUACAGAAUCUACAAAUAAAGCACCAUGUUAGUCUUUCUGAAAAUGGCUUUUUUGCUUAAUAUCAUCAUCUCCAAUUGUCACCAUUGCUCACAAGUAACACAAUCUCAUUUUCUUAAGUAGCUGACUAAGAGUUCACGGUGUCUAAGUCCUAAUGCCUCCAUCCGCCUGGUGGCGGACAUCUUGGCUAGUUCCAUCACUUGGCUAUUGUGAAUGGUGCUGCAAUCAACACAGAUGCACGUGUAUUUCCGAGGUGCAUUAGCUUAAACGGCUUUGGCAUGGCCCCAGGGAUGGGACAAUUGGGUCACAUGGUACUUCUGUUGUUUGAAGAACCACCAUAAAAUAUACUCAAGGACAGAAAUCAUAUGAUUAUCUCAGUAGACACAGAAAGGAUAUUUGACAAAAUCCAAUGUUCCUUAGUGACAAAAUUCUUAAAGAACCUAAGAAUAAGAGGACUGUGCCUUAACAUGGCAAAGGCUCUCUCUGGCAAACCUCUACCGGCACUGUAUUAGAGGAGGGAAAGGCCAAAGCUCUUCCACCAAGAUCAGGACUGACAGGGGGUAUUCACUUUCUCAUGGUUCUUGAAGACCUUACUAAUGAGAAAGA